UGUAUGUUGUUUCUGAAAUGAAGGCGAUUCAGCACUAAAAAUCGGAUUCUUAUACGCCAAAGCACAUAAUGCGUCUCAGUUUCCGUUCCAGCAAUAGUGGUCCAGAUUGGUUCUUAGCGUUCAGGUUGGAUAUCAGGAUGGAGAGUGUGUGUGAAAUGACGGUAGUGGAUAUGCCUUUCUUUUUUUUUUUACGGUGCGAGCAGGGCGCAAAAAUGGAUAAAUAGCCUUACUGUAAUGGAUAUGUUUACUGAAAACUGUUUCUAUGGCUACAAACUGAGUUGAUAGAGGUCUGAGGGAGCUGCAAGACGCUAUUUCUCUCUGACUGAGCAGAAGGCUGAAAUCCGACAAAUUCUUUUACCACUUGAAUUGGUUCGCUGUUGUGAAGGAAUUGGUUUCAAGAGAAUUGAUUUGAAUUUGGAAAUGCCGUACAUCGAUAUUGGGUAACAUAUCACCAGCAUAAAUAUAUCUCCAACAUGUUAAAAUGGAACAGCAUGGGACACAAGAUUUAUUCUAGAACGUUAAAAGAUGCAUUCGAAUUUUUUUUUUUUCUGAAAUUGUUUAAAUCACAGGGACUUUCGACUGACCAACUAAUAUUUAUCAAGGAACUCUAUUGGGCAUAUUGUAUAAUCACUUUGCAUAGAGAAAAUUAACUUAUUCACUCUUUUCAUCAACAGAAAGUCUUGUUUCUUGUAUUUUGUCAUUAAUUUGCUAUUUUUAUGAAAAUUAAAAUGUUGUACGAAAUAAUAAAGCGUGUUUGUGUUGAAAGCAAUAAGGUUUCGAUCUAGUUCUCUAAUUAUGAAAGAUUGUGUUACAUCUAUAUAUUGGGUAACAUGUCACCUAUAUAAAUAUAUCACCGACACGUUAAAAUGGAACAGCAUGGAACACAAGAUUUAUUCUAGAAUAUUUGAAGAUGCGUUCGAUUAUUUUUUCUGAAAUAGUUUAAAUCACGGGGAUUUCAGCUGACCAACUAAUAUUUAACAAGGAACUGAAUUAUGAACACUGUAUAUUUACUCUACGUAUGAAAAACAAUAUAUUGACUUUUUUCCUCAACAGAAUAACUACAAUUGUUUCUUUUACUUUGUCAU